CCCUAAUGCUGACUCAAUUAUUUAUCAUUUAAGACAAAAUACUGUACUACUACAAUCAGUUACACAAUUCUGUCCAAGAACCUGGUGAUGCUGCUACCAUAGACCUUCAGACACAAACAUAGUCAAAUAUUUUGUCAUUUUAUUCACAUGUAACAAUGUGUAAAUGGCAUGGAUGUAUUUCAUAAUAA